rnacentral:rRNA from 1 species
UACGAAGGGUGCAAGCGUUAAUCGGAAUUACUGGGCGUAAAGCGUGCGCAGGCGGUUUUGUAAGACAGGUGUGAAAUCCCCGGGCUUAACCUGGGAACUGCAUUUGUGACUGCAAGGCUGGAGUGCGGCAGAGGGGGAUGGAAUUCCGCGUGUAGCAGUGAAAUGCGUAGAUAUGCGGAGGAACACCGAUGGCGAAGGCAGUCCCCUGGGCCUGCACUGACGCUCAUGCACGAAAGCGUGGGGAGCAAACAGG